rnacentral:misc_RNA from 1 species
CUUGUGAAUAUGAUGCAGUCCGCAGUCGGUAGUGAGAGAAGAACAGACGGUUGUUGUCCGUGAUUUUUAGUGUUAUCCCAGAGUGCACUGUCAUAGGUACUGAAGCCAACAAUGUCGGUACAUCAAUCCCCAAAUUGUGGUGGGAACCGCGUGUAUGUCUUCCGGCCGUUGAAUGGACAGACCUUCAGGUUCCGCGUGAAGGCACCCAAUGAUGCCAACAUUUGUCUGUCUGGGGCAGCAGCAGAGGUCCCCCAUCACAUGUUUGAGAUCUUCCUUGGUGGCUGGGGUGGUGGUGAGUCAGGCAUCAGGAGGAACAAGAAAGAUGACGUCUGCAAGGUUAAGACCCCCAAUAUACUCAAUGCAAAUGAGUUUAUGGGAUUCUGGGUUGUUGUCACCAACAGUGCCAUUAAGAUUGGGCGUGAACGGGAGUCAAAACCAUUUUUGACCUUCUCAGAUGCCAUUGCACCCAUAAGGGUCACCCACUAUGGAUACUGCACAGCUUAUGGUGCAAGAGGAUCCUGGAUUUUUGCAGAUGAAGAUCCAACACCGUUUGAACCAGAGUCGGUCAUGAUUAAUCAGCUUGGGCGUCUCCAGUUAACACGGCAGCCACAGAGACCAUCGCCUGCCCUUGGCUUUGUUACUGUACAACCUAACAUAGCAACUCCAGUUUGCAACAGUGGAACUUUACAGUGGAUCCCUUGUAGAAAUGGGUCCAAGUGUGCAGCACCAGUUCCUGCUACAGUAGGGAGAAACCCUUCAUAUGUAGCUGCUGCCCACCAUCAAGGAGAGUUUAUCCCUGGAGUCCUUCUGCCGGACACCAAUGCCUGCUACAUAUCCUGGGGUGGUACCUCUAUUGCCAAACCUAAUUACUUUCUGCUGAGUAACCCCGGGGGUGCCAACUUCACGUGGCAGUCAGCAAAGCAGGGUAAUGUUCCCAUGGGAGCCCUGGAGGGUGGCUAUACAGUGAAUGGGGAAAAACUAUUCAUCGGUCGCUUCAGUGUUAGUGGGACCGUUGUCUCCGGAAAGGUUCACUGCAGUCAUAAGGUGUGCUACGUCCCUUACUGGGGUUCAGAGAAUAAGAGCGCAGUGUAUGAGGUUCUCUGUCUGCAGACUGUCCCAUUCUCCUUCCUUGGCGUACAGUAAGGCCAACUGCUACAAACCCCGACCAGAGCAAGAUGUGGGUGUGUGAGAGUCCAGGGCAACAGAUAAAUCUUUCCUGUGUGCAGGCCCUGAUGUGGGUCAUUACCUGUGCCCGGGUGGAUUAAUCCCCGGAAAAAAAAGGUUUUGUUAUUAGGUCUCAGGCUGGUACAGUACAGUACAGUUCAGUAAUUUAAUUAAAAUAUAAUUUUAAAGUUAUGUUUACAGUAAUUUAGAAUUGCAUAAAUAAUUAAAGGACCAAUUGUAUUAAAAAAUUGUGUUAUUAAUUCAAAUGAAUGCCACAAACCAAGAUAUAUGUCCCAGGACUGUGUUGAUAAGUUUUGCUACUUGGUGUUAUAUACUGUAUAUGUAUGUGUAUAUGCUGCAUUUAUUGAUUAUAUAUACAUUAUAUAUUAUGUUACUUCUUACCAAAGUCAGAAAGUGUUUAGGCUUGUGUAAACACGAAAUGUGUUCGGCACAUUGUAACCAACAAUAGAGAAUAAACGCCCAGCCAGACUGAC